rnacentral:rRNA from 1 species
UACAGAGGUCUCAAGCGUUGUUCGGAUUCAUUGGGCGUAAAGGGUGCGUAGGCGGCGCGGUAAGUCGGGUGUGAAAUCUCGGGGCUUAACUCCGAAACUGCAUUCGAUACUGCCGUGCUUGAGGACUGGAGAGGAGACUGGAAUUUACGGUGUAGCGGUGAAAUGCGUAGAUAUCGUAAGGAAGACCAGUGGCGAAGGCGGGUCUCUGAACAGUUCCUGACGCUGAGGCACGAAGGCCAGGGGAGCAAACGGG